rnacentral:rRNA from 1 species
CGUCUAUAUACGUAUAGCAUAUCAAUAAGCGGAGGAAAAGAAACUAACUAGGAUUCCCUCAGUAACGGCGAGUGAAGCGGGAAGAGCUCAAAUUUGAAAUCUUCAAGGUUCUACCUUGACGAAUUGUAGUUUAAAGAAGUGUUUUCUGUUGGAGUUUUGGUAAAAGUUCUUUGGAAUAGGACAUCAUAGAGGGUGAGAAUCCCGUAUUUGACCAUUAUUUCCAACUUUGUGAUACACUUUCAAAGAGUCGGAUUAUUUGGGAAUGCAGUCCAAAAUGGGUGGUAAAUUUCAUCUAAAGCUAAAUACUGGCGAGAGACCGAUAGCGAACAAGUACCGUGAGGGAAAGAUGAAGAGAACUUUGAAAAGAGAGUUAAACAGUACGUGAAAUUGUCAAAAGGGAAGCGUUUGACACCAGUGUUGUUUUCUCGAAAAUCAAUUAAAAAUGGUGGGAUGUUGUGUUGUUAUUGACUUUAUCAGCUUUCUGCACUUUUUUUCCUAUCUUUUUUAAUGCACUUUUCGUUUAACAAGUCAACAUCAAUUUCUUUUGUUGUAAAAGAGUCAUUGGAAGGUGGCUUUCUUUUCGGAGAAAGUGUUUAUAGCCUUUGGCUUCUGCAAUCGGAGAGAUUGAGGUCUGCAGCGUAGAUCCUUCGGGGUUAGAUACAUUUGUGCUAAGUUAUAGCCUUUCAUAGACAACUUGUUGACUAUGAUCAGUCAUGUAGCUUACUCGCUUACGCUAUUUUACCUACGCUUAGGAUGUUGAUAUGCAUGACUGAUAU